UUUCACCAGCGACAUGCUAUUUCACAAAUUCAACGGCUGGUGAGAUAUCAAGAAACUGUACUAUGCUUUGUACCAAUGGCACAUCGCAGUGGAAUAGCACUUCCGCAGACAAUGCUACAUGUUACCAUAGUUACAGUGAGUCAACACGCGAUGAUGGAGAAUUCAGAAUCUACAACUGCAGUUUGGGUUCCUGCGUCAACGGCAGUUGCAUCCCAAAUGAUGAAUGCGCUGAGUGCUGGUAUAGGAUACAAGCUGAAGCAUGAUGUAUUCGCUGCAAGUGCUGACAGCACCACGAGUGAAGAACACCGGCACUUCCAUUUGGCGUUUAGGCUUAAUAAGGUCAUCUAGAAGUAGUUUGCAGUGGUUGUGCUUUGGUAAAA